UACGGAAGGUCCGGGCGUUAUCCGGAUUUAUUGGGUUUAAAGGGAGCGUAGGCCGGGUUUUAAGCGUGCCGUGAAAUGUCGGGGCUCAACCUUGACACUGCGGCGCGAACUGGAGUCCUUGAGUGCGCGGAACGUAUGCGGAAUUCGUGGUGUAGCGGUGAAAUGCUUAGAUAUCACGAAGAACCCCGAUUGCGAAGGCAGCAUACGGCAGCGCUACUGACGCUGAAGCUCGAAGGCGCGGGUAUCGAACA
rnacentral:rRNA from 1 species